rnacentral:tRNA from 1 species
GGUGGGAUUCCCGAGUGGCCAAAGGGAGCAGACUGUAAAUCUGCCGGCUCAUGCCUACAGUGGUUCGAAUCCACUUCCCACCA